rnacentral:tRNA from 1 species
ACUAACUUAGCUUAUAUAAAGUACAGCUUUGAAGGUGCUGGGAAGAAAACAUUCAGUUGGUA